rnacentral:lncRNA from 1 species
UUCUGCUUGUGUCUUGAGGAUUGCUCAUCUCCCAUGAGGCUUUAAAUCACUUUUUUGUUCUCAAGAAGCAGGCUUCUCAAGAAGCCAGGCACUUAGCCUAUGGGAGCCAGGAAAGGGGGUGUGUAGUCACCUCGGCCAAAACCCGGCUUUGGGCAGAAACAUGCGCCCCAGCUUCUUUCCUUAGCUGUCUCCAGGAACCGGAUGUUGCAGAUUCUCUGAGCAGUUCUCUCCGAUGACACCUCAACAUGCAGUCUGGUGCAGGUGCCACUGUCACACAGAGAUGGGAAGGGCAUGUGCGGGUCACUUGGAAGAAACCCUGUGACCCCGAUGAGUGCAAUGUGGUAUAAUUUAGUAGCCCAUGCUCCUAGUUUGUCUUCUUGCAUGUGUGUGGAUUCCCUCCCAGGCAGGGAUGUAGGACAAAUCUAUCCCAGAGCUCCAUCCUUCCAGCUCAGUCUCCUUGUUGUGUGUGUGUUUUCUCCUCUAAUUUUUAACGUCUGUGGGUACAUAGUAGAUAUACAUAUAUGUGUGUGUGUGUGUGUGUGUGUGUGUGUGUGUGUGUGUGUGUGUAUGUAUAUAUAUAUGUAUGGGGUAUGCAUAUAUUUGUAUGGGGUAUAUGAGAUAUGUUGAUAGAGGCAUGCAAUAUGUAAUAAUCACACAGGGUAAAUGGGAUAUCCAUCACCUCAAAUAUUUAUCCUUUGUGUUACAAACAGUGCAAUUAUAUUUUUAUUUUUAAAUGUGCAAUUAAAUUAUUAUUGACUAUAGUCACACUGUUGUAUUAUCAAAUACUAGUUCUUAUUCAUUCUUUCUAUUUUUUUGUACCCAUUAACCAUCCCCACUUCUUCCCCAACCCCCACUACCCUUCAGCCUCUGGUAACCAUCCUUCUACUCUCUAUGCCCACAAGUUCAAUUGUUUUAAUUUUUACCUCUCACAAGCAAGUGAGAACGUGCAAAGUUUGUCUGUCUGUGCCUGGCUUAUUUCACGUAACAUAAUGAUCUUCAAUUCCAUCCAUGUCAUUGUGAAUGACAGGAUCUAAUUCUUUUUUAGCUGAAUAGUACUUCAUUGUGUAUAUGUACCACAUUUUCUUUAUCCACUCAUCGGUGAUAGACGCUUAGGUCGCUUCCAACCUUGGCUAUUGUGAAUAGUGCUGUAAUAAACAUGGGAGUACAGAUA